GACGAACGCUGGCGGCGUGCUUAACACAUGCAAGUCGAACGGAAAGGCCCUGCUUUUGUGGGGUGCUCGAGUGGCGAACGGGUGAGUAACACGUGAGUAACCUGCCCUUGACUGUGGGAUAACUUCAGGAAACUGGGGCUAAUACCGGAUAGGAGCUCCUGCUGCAUGGUGGGGGUUGGAAAGUGUCGGCGGUUGGGGAUGGACGCGCGGCUUAUCAGCUUGUUGGUGGGGUAGUGGCUUACCAAGGCUUUGACGGGUAGCCGGCCUGAGAGGGUGACCGGCCACCUGGGGCCUGCGAUACGGCCCAGACUCCUACGGGAGGCAGCAGUGGGAAAUAUUGCACAAUGGGCGGAAGCCUGAUGCAGCAGCCCCGCGUGCGGGAUGACGGCCUUCGGGUUGUGAACCGCUUUCGCCUGUGACGAAGCGUGAGUGACGGUAAUGGGUAAAGAAGCACCGGCUAACUACGUG
rnacentral:rRNA from 1 species